rnacentral:misc_RNA from 1 species
GAUGAGAACGUAGUGAAAUGCGAUACUUGGUGUGAAUUGCAGAAUCCCGUGAACCAUCGAGUCUUUGAACGCAAGUUGCGCCCGAAGCCAUUAGGCCGAGGGCACGCCUGCCUGGGCGUCACACGUCGUUGCCCCCCCAUCUACUCCUUCGGGAUUGCGGGGGGCGGAUGAUGGCCUCCCGUGCGCCACGCCGCGCGGUUGGCAUAAAUGCCAAGUCCUCGGCGACGCACGCCACGACAAUCGGUGGUUGCGAAACCUCGGUUGCCCGUCGUGUGCGGUCGUCGCGCAUCGAGGGCUCGAAAAAAUUGCCGGGUUCCGGCUCGGCUUUCAACGCGACCCCAGGUCAGGCGGGGUUACCCGCUGAAUUUAAGCAUAUCAAUAAGCGGAGGA